rnacentral:rRNA from 1 species
UUGAGAUUAAGUUAUUAAGGGCGCACGGUGAAUGCCUUGGCACUAGAAGCCGAUGAAGGACGUUACUAA